UACGGGGGGGGCAAGCGUUGUUCGGAAUUACUGGGCGUAAAGGGUUAGUAGGUGGCCAACUAAGUCAGACGUGAAAUCCCUCAGCUUAACUGGGGAACUGCGUCUGAUACUGGAUGGCUUGGAUUCGGGAGAGGAAUGCGGAAUUCCAGGUGUAGCGGUGAAAUGCGUAGAUAUCUGGAGGAACACCGGUGGCGAAGGCGGCAUUCUGGACCGACAUUGACGCUGAGGAGCGAAAGCCAGGGGAGCAAACGGG
rnacentral:rRNA from 1 species